GAACGCGAAGAACCUUACCUGGCCUUGACAUAGUAGAAACUUUCCAGAGAUGGAUUGGUGCCUUCGGGAAUCUACAUACAGGUGCUGCAUGGCUGUCGUCAGCUCGUGUCGUGAGAUGUUGGGUUAAGUCCCGCAACGAGCGCAACCCUUUUCCUUACUUGCCAGCAUUUCGGAUGGGAACUUUAAGGAUACUGCCAGUGACAAACUGGAGGAAGGCGGGGACGACGUCAAGUCAUCAUGGCUCUUACGGCCAGGGCUACACACGUGCUACAAUGGUCGGUACAAAGGGUUGCUACACAGCGAUGUGAUGCUAAUCUCAAAAAGCCGAUCGUAGUCCGGAUCGCAGUCUGCAACUCGACUGCGUGAAGUCGGAAUCGCUAGUAAUCGCGGAUCAGAAUGCCGCGGUGAGUACGUUCCCGGGUCUUGUACACACC
rnacentral:rRNA from 1 species